UGAAGCCGUCGUGCUGCAGUUCGUCACCCAUCUCCAAGGUCCAGCCGAGCUGUCGUUUCCGCGCCUUGCCACGGGACGUCGACGUCCAGCAGGAGCGGGAGCGACACUGCCUCAGUCCAGUACGACCGCCAACAGGAAAGGGGGAGGGGAGAUGAAGAAGGAGAGGGUGGCACCGCUAUCAUGGCCGCCAAGGCAUGAUGAGCUCCGGCAUGGAAGGCCAUUUUUUCCCUUUGGCGUGCUGUUGGUGCUGUUUAGUUUUGCACUUUUGCUUUGUUUGUCACACUAUGCCUCUGAUGUAAUUAGAAAGAUGCGUGUCUGUUUGGUGUUUCGUAAUUAAUCCUAGUGGUGUGAUUCAUGGAAAUAGAUGCGUGAAGAAGAUA